ACGCCCCUGAGCGUGCGGCCGCCUGGGCAGGCGCAGAGCUGGAGUUCAGCGGCCGCGACCCGCCUCUUCCAGAAUAGAGGGUAGCGAGGGGACUACAAGCCCCAGCUGUCCACCCCCGCAGUCGCCGAUUCCUCGCUUGCGCUCGCGGCGGCUCCGCGGCCCGGUUCUCGAGAGCCACAGAUGCGCCCGCGUCGCUGGGGUCUCCCGUGUGGGAACGUCCUCGGCAGGCCGCGGGUUUGAGAGGCAUCGCCGGCGUGACGAAUGCAACCAGCGUGGCCCCAAAUGAGUCGGCGGCCGCCGCAGGUUGACGUAGAGCCGCAGCGCUCCCCGGGGCCGUCACCCUCAGCACUUUCCCUUCUUUAUUUGUUGGGGGCCGCGGGGGCUGGAACCCAGAAGCGCAAGUGUGGGGCGCGUCCUCGUGGCGUCCCUGGCGCUCCGAGGCCGAAACCCGGAUGCUGAGGGGAGGCCGUGAGCUCGGAAAGGCACCGCGGGGCCGGCAUUAGGGCUGAGCUAGCUCUGUACCCUCUGGUGGGACUUUCGGUCUCUCUGGGCCUCGCCAUUCUCUUUCUUUUUCUUGCUUUUUUUUUUUUUUUUUUUUUUUUGGAGACGGAGUCUUGCUCUGUUGCCCAGGCUGGAGUGCAGUGGGACAGUCUGGGCUCAGUGCAACCUUUGCCUCCUGGGUUCAAGCGAUUUUCCCGCCUCAGCCUCCCCAGUAGCUGGAACUACAGGUGCCCGCUAUCACGUCCGGCUAAUUUUUGUUAUUUUUAGUAGAGAUGGGGUUUCACCAUGUUGGCCAGGCUGGUCUCGAACUCCUGACCUCAAGUGAUCCGCCCGCCUUGGCCUCCCAAAGUGCUGGGAUUACAGGCGUGGGCCACCGCGCCCGGCUUUUUUUUUUUUAAUACGGGUUUUCACCCUGUUACCCAGGCUGGUCUCGAACUCCUGCGCUCAGGUGAUCCACCCCCCCGCACCCCGGUCUCCCACAGUGCUGGAAUUACAGGCGUGAGCCACGGCGCCCGGCCUGUUAUUUUGAAGUCAAGCUAUUUUACCAUCCUCUGGAUUUUCGUCAUCCUAAUUCUCCUUCCCAGUCUCAAGGAAAGACAGGCACAUUUUCUUGAUGACUUCAGCAUUUGUAACCCCUUGUUGGCUCUCCUUAGAGGACAUUAACUCUGAACCUUUCAACUUCGAGGAUCUCUUUAGCCCUUCCUUAUUUGUUCACUCUCCUGGAUCAUGAAUUCUCCAAAUUUGUCCUUUGAACCCAGUGCCCAUAUCCACCCUCACCUGAACCCAUUCUUGAAUAAAAUGCAUUCCUACCA
ensembl:lncRNA novel transcript, antisense to AMZ2